CGAUCCAUCCGAUCCAACCACCGCCUUCCCAUCCCGGCCGUGCAACGCCACGCAGCGAGGUGGAGGAGCAGGGAUCCCCACAAAAACAGCACCCCCAGCGACAGCGAGCCGGGUCACGCGACGAGCGAGCGAGAAAAACGAGGCGAGACCUCCGACCCAGCCAGCCCGAAUCUGAAUGGCCUCCGCCACCCCGGCGGUGCCCGACCCCGCCCUCGGCCUCGGCCUCCGCCACCCCGGCGCCCUCGCCCGCCGCAUCGCCAUGGCGCGCGGAGCCGCCGUCGCGCCGGCACUUCGCCCCUGGCUCCUAUUCGACGCCGUGCCCCUCGUCGUCGUCGUCCUCAUCGCCGCGCACGUCCUCGCCCUCGGCUACUGGAUCUACAGGCUCGCCACCGACGGGUCCAAGCACCCCGCGCGGAGCAAGAAACACUAGACAAAGACGGCCGCAGGCCCCCAGUGGCUGCCUCGGUCUCUGCACUUUUGUGCUUGCUCUCCUGUAUUGCCAUUAUAGUAUUUUCAAGCCUUCUUGUGAUCUUGGUGUCUUUUACGCUAUUGGCCUGAAGUCCUCAAGCUAAGUGUUUGACAUUGAAGCUUGUAGCUUGUUAGCCGUCUAGGUUUUUGCAUCUCUGCUUGUUGAUCUCCAAGGGUUCCCGUGUGAAGUGAUGGCGUGGCGAAACUCAUGAAAGAAGUGGAGGCAGGAAACCCGUCACUUGGAGUGAUCUGUUCAGAUGUUGGUUUCGAACGUGGCGUGAGCUGGUGCGUGAAAAGGGGCCGUCUAUGGCCAUACAUAGCAUAGCUUUGAGUUGUUGAAAAGGUUUGUCUACUCAUAGAUGAUGUUUCUGUGUAAAAGACCUUUAGCUAGAUAUAAGUGCUCCCAUUUUCAUCUGAUGUGGGCUUGUAUAAUCAUACGAGAGCAUCUUUUUCUUUGCCCCUGACCAUGUAAGGUUGGCAUUGAAGUUUC